ACGGCUUCCUACUUGAUUAAUAGGCUCCCAAGUCCUACUCUUGGAAACUUAUCACCUUACUUCAAACUUCUCCAUAAACAUCCUGAUUACACAUGUCUCCGUGUCUUUGGCUGUGCGUGUUUCCCUUUCCUCCGUCCCUACAAUGCUCACAAACUUGAUUAUCGGUCUAAGGAGUGUAUUUUUCUAGGAUACUCCACUGUUCAUAAGGGGUACAAAUGUUUGGCUGCCAAUGGACAUCUCUAUAUUUCUAAGGAUGUUCUUUUCCAGGAAACAAGGUUUCCUUAUUCCCUUUUAUUUCCCACUUCCACUCCACCUUCUACUGCUGCUCCUACUUCCCCUGUUUCUGCUUCUUCAUGGUUCAUGGCUGAAGCUUCUCCUCAUCCUCACCUUCUUAAUUCUGACAGUCCUACACCAUCUCUUUCUUCUACUGCUGUUGGUGUCAGUCCUACUUCCCCUCCCAGUCCUCUUCAUACUCCUGCUAAUAUCAGCUCUCCACAUACACCUAUUCCCUCCACUUCUUCUUCUCCUGGCCUAAUUCUCUCUGAUAUUGCUGAAUGCAGUACCAUUUCUCCCUCCUCUUCUCCUGCAGAAUCUUCUGUCAGCCCUGUUCCCUUACCCUUUAACCCAUCCCAACCUUUUAUUCAUCCCCUUAACACUCAUAUUAUGCAAACACGAGCUAGUACCAUUUCUCCCUCCUCUUCUCCUGCAGAAUCUUCUGUCAGCCCUGUUCCCUUACCCUUUAACCCAUCCCAACCUUUUAUUCAUCC
rnacentral:lncRNA from 1 species